rnacentral:rRNA from 1 species
CGGCGGACGGGUGAGUAACGCGUGGGGAACCUGCCUUACACAGGGGGAUAACAGUUAGAAAUGGCUGCUAAUACCGCAUAACCCGCUGGGGUCGCAUGACCCUGACGGAAAAGAUUCUAUCGGUGUAAGAUGGACCCGCGUCUGAUUAGCUGGUUGGUGAGGUAACGGCUCACCAAGGCGACGAUCAGUAGCCGACCUGAGAGGGUGAUCGGCCACAUUGGGACUGAGACACGGCCCAAACUCCUACGGGAGGCAGCAG